CUGGCUCUUUCCUGGACUGACUUUCUACAGAGAGGAGGAAAGUCACCCGACCUGCAUGAUCUCCUCUUAACCUCACAACAACCAACUGCAUGCAGUAGAUUUUCACACCAUUUCUCAGGUGGGGAAACUGACGGCUGGAGGAACUAAGACCCCCACACAGGCAGAGGAUGGUGACUAGUGCUGAGCAUAAGCACAUAGAGCCAGGACUGGUUGGAACCAGAGGUUGAUGGUUAAGAUUCCUGAAAAACCACUCUGUUACCUCACCACCAACUUAUCAGAAGAAAGUCAUGCACCCUGUAGCCCUCACCCCGAAUGUUGCCUUUAAAAAUCCUUCCCUGAAAGCUACUGAGAAUCAGCACAUUACCUCCAAAAGAACUUUCUGAACAGAUGUACUUUUGAAGAAAAUGCCAUAGUCUUCUUUUAAAUUUAUUUAUUUAUUUUAUUUGUUCAUUUAGUGGCUAUGUUGGGUCUUCAUUGCUGUGCUGGCUAUUCUCUACUUGUGGUGUGCGGGCUUCUCUUGUUUGCGGUGGCUUCUUUUGUUUAGGAACACAGUCUCUAGGGUGCACUAGGCUUCGGUAGCUGCAGCCUGAGAGCUCAGUAGUUGUGGUACACAGGCUUAGCUGCUCUGCGGCCCAUGGGACCAACCUGGACCAGAGAUUGAACUUGUGUAUCCUGCAUUGGCAGGCAGAUUUUGACCACUGAGCCACCAGGGAAGCCCCCAAAGUGCUACAGUCUUAAUGAACUCCUAUAAUUAAUUUCUAAUGCCAGGAAUCUAGGUUGGGAGAGUGUUGGUUUCUAUUGAAUGGGAAUUGACUUGAAAGAAUCAUUUUGUGAUCAUUCCCGAGCCCUUGGAAUCAUUCUACCUUUUCAUCUCACAUUCCUAAGCCCCUGGAACCAGUCUAUAUUCCCCUCUCACUUUUGCUUUCCCUUUUGUCCUUAUCACCUGAUAGGACUAAUGUAAUGCAAACUCAGUUCUCCUCAGUCACCUUAGCAGCCUAAGCAGGGUUUCAUAGCAAGAGGAUGGAAGGAGGUGCUGGGGAAACAUCCGAAAGAGAACUCUAUGCCUUGGGGUGGGAACUAGACUUUCAGAGAAGACAUGUGGGAAAGGCCAGGAGAGCCCAACCUUGCUAGAGACUGUGUUCAGGUUAUGCAAGGAACAAGGACACCAAAUGGUAAGAUUCAAGAAACAGGAAGCCAAAGCUUAUAGCUUCCUUUCUCCUCCCUGGGAAGCCUUUGGACAUGAUUCAGCAGAGAAAAUGAAUGAAAGUCAGUAGCACAAAGGAGUGGAAGAAGGGUCUCACACCCAUGGAAGCACCACAAAGAGGAGCAACCAAAGAGAGACAGGAAGACAGACCCUCUGUGCAUCCCCACACAGCCUGGACUCUACAUGUUUUCAUUUUUUAAUGGCACAUCCCUAUCAGUAAAAAUGUUAUUUCCAAAUGAACAUAUGUUCUUUAAUUGCAAAUUUUACAUAGUUGCUGCUAUACUGAUGUAUUGCUUUUAUCUGAGACUGACUCAAUACUAGAAAUAAUAAUAUGAAUAAGAUAAAAAUGAGUAAGACGUUAUAUCUUCUUUCACACCCUGGAAGAAUCACCUUGUGCAUCCCUGGGGUGAACUCAUACAAGUUUGGAGGCCUUUAGGUUAGAACUGUGCUGCCAGUAGGAAUAUAAUGCAAAUUGCCUAUGUAAGGUAUAAUCUUCUAGUCAUCUCAUUUUAAAAAUGUAAAAAAAAACCUGAUGAAAUUAGUUCUAAUAAUACAUUUUAUCUAACCCAAUAUAUUCAA